rnacentral:miRNA from 1 species
UUCCUUCCGGUCGAUGAGGUAAAACACCCUCAUCGACGGAAGGGAUUCCUUCCGUCGAUGAGGUUGUUAUACCUCAUCGACCGGAAGGAAUCCCUUCCGGCCGAUGAGGGUGUUUUACCUCAUCGACGGAAGGAAUCCCUUCCGUCGAUGAGGGUGCUUUACCUCAUCGACCGGAAGGAA